CCUACGGGCGGCAGCAGUAGGGAAUUUUCGUCAAUGGGCGCAAGCCUGAACGAGCAAUGCCGCGUGAACGAGGAAGGUCUUCGGAUCGUAAAGUUCUGUUGAAGGGGAAAAAGAGCGGAGAGAGGAAAUGGUCUCCGAUUGAUAUUACCCUUCGAGGAAGUCACGGCUAACUACGUGCCAGCAGCCGCGGUACUACGUAGGUGGCGAGCGUUAUCCGGAAUGGUUGGGCGUAAAGGGCGUGUAGGCGGGAAAGCAAGUCAGAUGUGAAAACCAUGGUCUCAACCUGUGGCGUGCAUUUGAAACUGUUUUUCUUGAGUACUGGAGAGGCAGACGGAAUUCCUAGUGUAGCGGUGAAAUGCGUAGAUAUUAGGAGGAACACCAGUGGCGAAGGCGGUCUGCUGGACAGCAACUGACGCUGAGGCGCGAAAGCGUGGGGAGCAAACAGGAUUAGAUACCCUAGUAGUC
rnacentral:rRNA from 1 species